AGCACCAACAGUAAAGACAACAACUGAAGAAACAACAACCAAACAUGUAGAAACUUCUACAGCUUUAUCAUCAGGUUUAGCAGAUUAUGGAAACAAUACCUUC